rnacentral:rRNA from 1 species
UACAGGGGGUGCUAGCGUUGUUCGGAAUUACUGGGCGUAAAGGGCGCGUAGGCGGCCUUGUAAGUCAGAUGUGAAAUCCCGGGGCUUAACUCCGGACGUGCAUUUGAAACUGCGAGGCUUGAGUGCAGUAGAGGAUGGUAGAAUUCCCAGUGUAGAGGUGAAAUUCGUAGAUAUUGGGAGGAAUACCGGUGGCGAAGGCGGCCAUCUGGGCUGCAACUGACGCUGAGGCGCAAAAGCGUGGGGAUCAAACAGG